GGGGUGACGGCGUACCUUUUGUAUAAUGGGUCAGCGACUUACAUUCAGUGGCAAGCUUAACCGAUUAGGGAAGGCGUAGCGAAAGCGAGUCCGAACAGGGCGUUGAGUCGCUGGGUGUAGACCCGAAACCAGAUGAUCUAUCCAUGGCCAGGUUGAAGGUGCGGUAACACGUACUGGAGGACCGAACCCACUAACGUUGAAAAGUUAGGGGAUGAGCUGUGGAUAGGGGUGAAAGGCUAAACAAAUCUGGAAAUAGCUGGUUCUCUCCGAAAACUAUUUAGGUAGUGCCUCGUGUCUCACCUUCGGGGGUAGAGCACUGUCAUGGUUGGGGGGUCUAUUGCUGAUUACCCCGCCAUAGCAAACUCCGAAUACCGAAGAGUGCAAUCACGGGAGACAGACAUCGGGUGCUAACGUCCGGUGUCAAGAGGGAAACAACCCAGACCGCCAGCUAAGGUCCCCAAAUAUAGCUAAGUGGGAAACGAAGUGGGAAGGCUAAAACAGUCAGGAGGUUGGCUUAGAAGCAGCCACCCUUUAAAGAAAGCGUAAUAGCUCACUGAUCGAGUCGUCCUGCGCGGAAGAUGUAACGGGGCUAAGCUAUAUACCGAAGCUGCGGACGC
rnacentral:rRNA from 1 species